GAAGGACAUGGAGACAUCACACAGAAAAAGACAUCAGAUCAGAUAACUCCAAGAUGCAAACAGCAACACUGGCAGCUGGCAGGGAAAUUGUCUAGUUAAAAGCCCUGAGCAGCUACAGCUCCACCCCUAAACCCACUGGAUCAUACUUGCAGAUAAAUUUACACUUCUUCACAUUAUAGUCUUUAAUACCUUGAUUUGAAGACACAUAACUUUAACAACAGUGAUGCAUCGUCAAAAAUAAAACACUCAAUCAAUAAAUCAGCAGGGUUCUGAUUUGGUGGUUUGCAGGUCAAAAGAAAUCUAGCUUCUGGGUUAGAGUGAGGCUAAAUUUGGUUGAAAAGUGAAGUUUCCUAGAAUUAUGCGUAACUGCUGUUUCUUUUGAGCUGCAAAUCAAAAUCAAAUCACUGCUUUCGGAGGAGUCCACUGUCAGAACAACAUCUGAGACUUGUAUGCUGUUUCUUUAAAUAGCUUUAUUAUGUCGGCUAUUUCAAAAGAGUAUCCCAGAAAAUCACUGACAAAGAGUAUUUAAAAAUCAUAUCAAGUACUACUUGUUAAGCAGUGUUAAUUCAAAAAAGAAAAAAAAAAGACUCAUAAAUUUUACUUGAAAAUACAUUUGACAAAAGGUUGUUACACAAUAAGCCCAAGAAAGUGAUAAUGAAACUGAAAAUGUUUCAUAUUAUUUAGUGAGAUCUGCAACAAAUUUAUACAUUUUUACCAGCAAUAUGUUGACAGACAGCUUUGCGGUUUCAGAGCAGUAAGGUGUGUUGUAGUGUUCAUGAAUAAGUGACUACAAAGCAAAAUUGUUUAAAUUGGAAUUGAUGAAAGAUUCCAUCAAGAUGUGAUCACAAUGACGUGGUUUCACUCUCCAGUGCAAAUACAGAAACAAAAAUCAGCAAAUAAACACUAAACAUUUUCAUUUAAUUCGAAUCUAGAAUGGAGAAAUUGCAAUCUUACAAAAGUUGUGAUAUAUAGCAGUGAAAACUCCUGAGUCCAAUUUCCACCACAUCUCAAAAAUAACCCAAAGGUCAACAAAUUCUCCAUCCAGUCAGUUCCCCUCACACAAGUCUAAAUCACACCAUCCUUUGACUUCUUCUGCUUCUUCUUCUGGAUCUGUUCCUCUGGGCCGCAGCAGCAUCCGUACAGCAGAGAGAAGACGACCAGAGACAAAGUUCCCAGCACAAACACUCCGAUGACCACAAGGCCGCCCAGUGCCCACGGCUCGUGAUGCAGACGAUACAGUAACCACUCCACCCAGUCCUCAGGUGACCCUGUGGGUUUCUGCUGCUCUGGUGCGCUGCACAGAGAGUAAUAAACCAGAUAAAAGCUCAAAUGGAAAGCGAAUCUGGAUACUGGUGGAAGUGGAUGAGAUAAUGUUACGUAUGUGGAGACCAUUAGUUGCCACUAGUAAUGCUUUUUAGAGUCACAUUAUCUGCUGAUGAUAAAACGUCUGAAACAGCAAUAAAACAUUUAAAAGCUG